rnacentral:misc_RNA from 1 species
UGUAGGAGUGAGCCUGCUCGCGAUAGCUGACUACCCGUCAGCAUUGAAGUGACUGACCCACUGCCAUCGCGAGCAGGCUCACUCCCACA